rnacentral:rRNA from 1 species
UACGGGGGGGGCAAGCGUUGUUCGGAAUUACUGGGCGUAAAGGGCUCGUAGGCGGCCAACUAAGUCAGACGUGAAAUCCCUCGGCUUAACCGGGGAACUGCAUCUGAUACUGGAUGGCUUGAGAUUGGGAGAGGGAUGCGGAAUUCCAGGUGUAGCGGUGAAAUGCGUAGAUAUCUGGAGGAACACCGGUGGCGAAGGCGGCAUCCUGGACCAACACUGACGCUGGGGAGCGAAAGCCAGGGGAGCAAACGGG